rnacentral:rRNA from 1 species
UACGUAGGGUCCAAGCGUUGUCCGGAUUUAUUGGGCGUAAAGAGCUCGUAGGCGGCUUAGUAAGUCGGAUGUGAAAACUCGGGGCUCAACCCCGAGACGCCAUCCGAUACUGCUGUGGCUUGAGUCUGGUAGGGGAACACGGAAUUCCUGGUGUAGCGGUGAAAUGCGCAGAUAUCAGGAGGAACACCGAUGGCGAAGGCAGGUGUUCUGGGCCAGUACUGACGCUGAGGAGCGAAAGCGUGGGGAGCAAACAGG